ACAAAUGGAGUGAUAAAUAUAGGAAACUGGUAUAGCUUCACAAUAAUACUUAUCUAUAUUAGGUCUUAUUAUUCGAACAAGUCACUGUGUAACUACACUUAUUUAUUCAAAGAACUAUUCAACAUGGCUAGUGCGUUAAGUCUGAUACCAAUACCGUUUGUCGGGGUGCCCAGAUUCUUCUUUAGACCCAUCACAUUUAUGUUGACAGGUUUUGUUAGAUUUCUAAUGGCAAUUGAAAAUAGAUCUGUUGGAGUGGUGGUUCGUCAACUACUACGACCUUUCAGGAUCUUCAGGAGAGUGCCAGGAGUAAAUUAUUUACUAUGACUCAUUAAAUUGAUGUUUACAUGAAUAAAAAAAUAUAUAUCAAUAA